AGUCGAGCGGAGAUGAGGUGCUUGCACCUUAUCUUAGCGGCGGACGGGUGAGUAAUGCUUAGGAAUCUGCCUAUUAGUGGGGGACAACAUUCCGAAAGGAAUGCUAAUACCGCAUACGCCCUACGGGGGAAAGCAGGGGAUCUUCGGACCUUGCGCUAAUAGAUGAGCCUAAGUCGGAUUAGCUAGUUGGUGGGGUAAAGGCCUACCAAGGCGACGAUCUGUAGCGGGUCUGAGAGGAUGAUCCGCCACACUGGGACUGAGACACGGCCCAGACUCCUACGGGAGGCAGCAGUGGGGAAUAUUGGACAAUGGGCGGAAGCCUGAUCCAGCCAUGCCGCGUGUGUGAAGAAGGCCUUUUGGUUGUAAAGCACUUUAAGCGAGGAGGAGGCUACUUAGAUUAAUACUCUAGGAUAGUGGACGUUACUCGCAGAAUAAGCACCGGCUAACUCUGUGCCAGCAGCCGCGGUAAUACAGAGGGUGCGAGCGUUAAUCGGAUUUACUGGGCGUAAAGCGUGCGUAGGCGGCUGAUUAAGUCGGAUGUGAAAUCCCUGAGCUUAACUUAGGAAUUGCAUUCGAUACUGGUCAGCUAGAGUAUGGGAGAGGAUGGUAGAAUUCCAGGUGUAGCGGUGAAAUGCGUAGAGAUCUGGAGGAAUACCGAUGGCGAAGGCAGCCAUCUGGCCUAAUACUGACGCUGAGGUACGAAAGCAUGGGGAGCAAACAGGAUUAGAUACCCUGGUAGUCCAUGCCGUAAACGAUGUCUACUAGCCGUUGGGGCCUUUGAGGCUUUAGUGGCGCAGCUAACGCGAUAAGUAGACCGCCUGGGGAGUACGGUCGCAAGACUAAAACUCAAAUGAAUUGACGGGGGCCCGCACAAGCGGUGGAGCAUGUGGUUUAAUUCGAUGCAACGCGAAGAACCUUACCUGGCCUUGACAUAGUAAGAACUUUCCAGAGAUGGAUUGGUGCC
rnacentral:rRNA from 1 species